rnacentral:tRNA from 1 species
GUCGGGGUAGCUUAGUUGGUAGAGCAGUGGAAUCAUAAACCACAGGUCGUGGGUUCGAUCCCCACCCCCGGCA